rnacentral:rRNA from 1 species
UAGGAAUCUGCCCAUUUGUGGGGGAUAACCCGGCGAAAGCCGGGCUAAUACCGCAUACGCUCUACGGAGGAAAGCGGGGGAUCGUAAGACCUCGCGCUAAUGGAUGAGCCUACGUCGGAUUAGCUAGUUGGUAGGGUAACGGCCUACCAAGGCGACGAUCCGUAGCUGGUCUGAGAGGACGAUCAGCCACACUGGGACUGAGACACGGCCCAGACUCCUACGGGAGGCAG